rnacentral:lncRNA from 1 species
CUGGGGGAGGAUUUCGUGGGCCUCAGGAGAAGCAGCUCCUUGCCAGCGCACCGGAGGGGACCUGACGCUAGCAGGUGAGUGAGGCAGGAGGGAGCCGGCUGCCUGGCGAGGGCUCAGCCAAGGAGGGCCAGGGUCUGGGGAAGGGAGGCAGCAGCCUGAACCUGGGGCACCCCGCAGGCGCCUCCCACAUCGUGUCCUCUCCAGGAGCCAUGAGACACAUCCAUCCCUUCUUGCUGGCCGUCCUGCUGUGCUCCGAGUGUGCCCUGAGCCUUCAGUGCUACAGCUGUGCUGAAGUGGAGAACAGCAGCCCGUGCCAGCCCUCCCAGUGUCUGAUGCAGGGCGUCUGCUACACUAGUGACAUAACCUUGACCUUGGACGACGGUGAGUGCCCAGCACUCGGAGGGAGGGGGCGGUUCAGGGAGCUCUGCUCUGAGGCUCCCCCAGCCUCUCAGAGGAGUGUGGGUUUGGCAGGGGCCACUCUCCAGCCUGCCUCAACUUCCCCCAUCCACAUGGAGCGGGGCGGCCUCCAGAGGCCUUCUCGGGGAGGGGGCGGGAUGGGACUCCAGCAGAGGGAUGGAUGGCCAAGUGCCCCCAGGGAGCGGGUGACCAGGGAAGACCCCAGGAGGCUGAGAGCGGACUGGGGCCUCUCAUGCCAGGCUCCUCCCGUCUUGCCCACAGGAAAUCGGGUGAAGUACCAGCAGAAGGGGUGUGCCCCCUCCUGUGAGGAAGUCUCCCGCAUACUGCAGCAGCUUUCCCAGAGCAGCGGCCCCGGCAAUCUGGGCCUGCUGGGCCUAACGAAGCUUGAAGUGCAGGGUUUGAGGUGCUGUGAAAGGGACCUCUGUAAUGGGGGCACACUGCCCCUGGGCCCUGGCGGGGGGCUCCUGCUCAGCCUAGGGCUCAUCUUCCUCUGGGCCCUGCUGUGAGCAGCCCUGACUCCAGCACAGAAAGCAGGGCGUCGUCCUGAACAGAGUCACGCAGCAGGCACGUGAAGUAAGCUCGCUGUCCCACCCUCGCAUACGCGCACGCGCACACACACACACACACACACACACACACCGUCCACACACAUGCAUCCCCACGCACAGACUCUGCAGACCCUCGGCCACUCCCGCCCAACCCACCUGGCCAGCCCUAGCCUCAGGCCCCCAGUACCCCGCUCUGCCAACAAGCCCAGCCCGUUUUGCAAACACCAUCAGCGAACCACCGCCCCAAGCUGCAGAGACCGCUGCGCUCUGACCAGACGGGCCUGUAGGAGAGCAAAGCCCACAGCCCAGCCCGGGGUCCUGCUCCCCAUGUGCCAGCCAGCGCAAGGAGAAAAUAAACCCUUUCCAUAUCUUCCUGUUCUCUGCUUG